rnacentral:pre_miRNA from 9 species
UCUCGAUAGCGUAAAAGUUAAUUUAAAUUUGUAUGGAGUUGGAACGUUUGCCUAUGUUUGCCGCUACGGGCACUGUUCCAGCUCCAUACAAAUUUGACUUAACUUUUACGCUAUCGA